GUGGGGGAGAAUAAAUAAGGGUGGAUAAAAGAAAGAAAGAAAACAGAGAACGAUGGUGAAAAAAACAAAGGAAGGAAGAGAGAAAAGAAAAAGAGGAAGAGAAGGAAGGGGAAAAACAAGACUGACUUUACAAUAUGAGAUAUACUAUUAUAUAUUGAGCUGCAGAAACCAAAUCCAACAACUUUUGGCAAGGAAGCUUCCUUUUAUCAUGCACCUCCCUCCCUUGGGACUUGUAGAGUCUUCUCUUCUUGGAAGGCCUACGCAUUUGCAAUUCUCUACACCUACUGUAGUCCCAUGAGAAAUAUGUUAUUUUCCCAAAUUUCAACAAAGAAGUUGGAAUGACAUUUUAUUUACUGACAUUGACAUUAUUUUGCACUUCUUCCAACUCUCAAGAAAAUAAGAACCACUUGAUGGUAGCAAUACCACUAUCACUGCUGCUUCUGUAAAUAAUUAUUUACAAUAAUUAACACAACUUAAUCUGACUUUAUCUAACAUAUCUUAUUUUUAGCUUUUGAAUACAAUAUUUACUUGGAUUUAUCUGAGUAAUUAUUUGAAAAAAUAUCCUCAGUUUGAAACAUGGCUUAUUGACUCCAGAUAUGUCAUCAUCAGAACUAACUCAUGUAACUUUAUUCUUAACCUUUCAAUAUUUCAGUUUUAUUAUAAAAGUAAUAGUCAGUUUUGCUAUGAUACGUAAUGGUACUUUUGAUUAAUAAAUUACUGUACACAUGUGCUGCUAAAGCUCUGCAACCCUAAUUUAUUUAGAACCUCUUUUUUCUUUCUCUCAUGCUACAGAGGUUAAAAACGUUACUGAUACACUGGGUUUCCCUAGUGAAUACUCAAAACAUUUUUAAAAUCUGAUUUAAAAAUUAUAGCAUCAUCCUGUAUAAUUUCUUUACUAAUGUACAUAUAUCCCCAAUCCCUACACCAGGAAUUGGCAAAUAUUUUCUGUCAAGGGCUAGAGAGUAAAUAUUUUAGACUUGCAGGACAUACAAUUUCUGCCACAACUACAACUCAGCCUUUGGAGCCUGGAAACAGCUACAAACAGUACAUAAACAGAUGAUCAUGGUUGUUUAUUACUGUUUCUGGACACUUGUAUUAGUUUGCUAGCGCUGCCAUAACAAAAUACCAUAUAC
rnacentral:lncRNA from 1 species